rnacentral:rRNA from 1 species
GAUCCUGGCUCAGGAUGAACGCUGGCGGCGUGCUUAACACAUGCAAGUCGAACGAUUGAAGCUGGAGCUUGCUCCGGCCGAUGUAGUGGCGGAUGGGUGAGUAACGCGUGGGUAACCUGCCUCAUACAGGGGGAUAGCAGUUGGAAACGACUGGUAAAACCGCAUAAGCGCACGGUAUCGCAUGAUACAGUGUGAAAACACUCCGGUGGUAUGAGAUGGACCCGCGU